UACGGGGGGGGCAAGCGUUGUCCGGAUUUAUUGGGCGUAAAGAGCGUGUAGGCGGCCGCCUAAGUCAGACGUGAAAUCCCCAAGCUUAACUUGGGAACUGCGUCUGAUACUGGGUGGCUCGAGUUCGGGAGAGGAAUGUGGAAUUCCAGGUGUAGCGGUGAAAUGCGUAGAUAUCUGGAGGAACACCGGUGGCGAAGGCGGCAUUCUGGACCGAAACUGACGCUGAUGCGCGAAAGCCAGGGGAGCAAAGCGGGG
rnacentral:rRNA from 1 species